GUUAGCAGCGAUAGCACCUUCAAUACAUCAGUUAACAAUGUAUCGCUGAAGUUAAGCAACGUUCCGCAUGGUUGGUAUCCGGUUGGGUGACCAUCUGGGCAAUCACGUCCUGGCUUUUC
rnacentral:rRNA from 1 species